AUGCCCACGGGUGGGUACCACUUAUGCCGGUGCCAGCCCGGCUCCGCGGGGCAGAGCCCACGCCUUGCGCCCCGCCGGCAGCAUCUCCCCGGCCCCACGUGCGGCUGCCCCCGCUCCCCCCCCGGGGGUCCCAGGGCGCCGGGAGGCGGCGGCAGAGCCGCACCGGAGCCAUUUUGCGCCGCCGCCGCCCGCUCUGGCUCCCGGGGAAAAUCCACCGCCGUGUCUUGGCGGCGCCGCGGCGGCCCCGCUCCGCUCCCGCCGCUCCGCGCCCGCCCGCGCUGCACUGCGGGGCCGCCGCCACUCGCAUGCUGCCGCCCGCCGCGCUCCCACGCGCGGGGCGCCGGCCCGGGCCGAGCCGGGACCAGUCGAGCCCAACAGAGCCGGGCCGGGAGCAGCCGGGCCGGGGGCGGCCGCGCCGGGCCGUCGGGGAACCGCCCGGGAGCCGCCGGAGGAUGUAGGAGGCGGGUGCGGGGUAAGAGCGGCGGGGGCGGCCCCGGGGCUACCGCGGUGCCCAGCGCAGAGUGGGGGGCCGGUCCCCGGGGAUCGCGGUGCCCAGCAUGGGGGUGGGGGGAAGCGGUGCUCGGUGCGGGAGGGCGGCUCUCCCCAACGGGGCGCCGGAGCCGUGCGGAACCGGCCCCGCGGGAACGGGACGUGUCACCUGCGGACCCAUCCAGCCCCGCCGAGCGGGUGUCCGGGGGUGAACCAGGGGGAUGGUGGAGGAGGGAGCCGGGGGGUGGCCGGGGGCGUCUCACCGUGGUGCUCAGCUCCGCCAGGAUUCCCUGGCGGGUGCGGGAGAAGGGGUGCCGGCGGGCAUCCCCAUCUCCUGCUGCCCGAGGCUUUGGAGAGGGAGGCACAAUCUGCAGCCCCUCCAGCCUCUCCCGGAUGGCGACGCCAGCCAUCCUGCGUUCUCCCGCUGCAGAGGGCUCGGGGCAGGCCCAGGACCCCUCCCCAGCCCAGUGGGCUCUCCCUCCCCAUCCUGCCGGGGGUGCGCCGCUGGGUGUGAGCGCCAUGCCCGGCCGAGUGCCGGGAGCUGGCGCGGGGCACCAGCUGAGCUGUGCCCAUCACCGUUCAUCCAGGCGCCACGGUCCAACCCUGGCAGGCGAGCAGACCUUCGGGGCCCCGAGUCUGGGUGUCCCUCCUGCCGCCGCCUUCCUUCCCCCAGACUGUUGGGUUUUGUUGGAGGAGCCGGUCUGGUCCCUCCAUCCUGUGCCAAACCUGCAGAGCAAGUUGGCAGCUGGGUCCGCUGCUCUCUCUCCAUCCUGUGACAUCCAGCCCCGCAUGUCACCUCCCUCGCGGGGUCCAGGGCUGCGCUGCCCACGGCCGAUCCUUGCCUGA
rnacentral:lncRNA from 13 species